CUUGCCCAAGAUUAGAAUCCAGGCCUUUCUGCCUCCCAGGCCUUGCUCUAUCCACUAGACCACACUGCUCUCAUUUUACAGAGAAGGAAACUGAGGCCCAGAGACGUUGACUCACCGAAGGUUACACAGCAGGCAAAUGGCUUUGAGCCCCAACAGUACCACCAGACACUAUCGGGCAGGGGCAGAAGUCCAGCUUGCCCCACUGCGAUGGCCACCGGCCCCCUCCCCACAGGGGCUGCGGAGCGGAGACCGGCUCCACCCACUCCUACUGUGAGCCGUCCAGCGGAGAAUCCAACCGGCGAUUCUACGCCCUGCAGAGCAGGAAACAAGCUAUUGACCGGACCGCUGACCGAUGUGGUUUUCCCAGAAAGAAGGACCGCCACCGGUCCGAUUCUCUAUCCGGCCCCCCAUCCGGCCGCCAGGGAGGCCCCAACCUCUUCUCCCUUCCUCGUUCCCAGCACCUCGCCAAAAGUUAGACCAGUGUGAUGCAUUCGGUCUGCUCUUGUUAAAGUUAAAUACUGCUUUCUUAAUAUUCGUUUCUGACGGAGGAUGUGACAAAUAACAUAGUAAUUGUCUUAUUCCUCCAUGUUCAUAAAACAUUGAUAAUAUGAUUUUUACCUUCCCUUUGUUCUCAAUUAAAUGAAACGUUCCAAUACAAUUAAUGCGUUCUUGCAAUUUAGUCCUGCAUUAGAGGUUUCUUGUCUCUGAUUAACAGUGCUUUCCAUCCACUCUGAGAACCCCCAACCGCUGUUCGGAAUGUUUCAUUAUGCCUGCCAGCUAUAAAUACAAUUGUGAACCAAUAUCAUUUUAAUUGUUUCCCUAAUAACUCGUUUUAAAUGAUUCAACAGUCAUCAGGAAAGAUAAGUGCUCUUCUUCCCCGCGGGCGGGGAUGAGACGACGUUUUGGAGGGUGGUGUCGGAAUAAUGAAACCGUCCGCGAGAGCUAAUGACAGCGCGCUCUUGCUUCGCCGUAAAGAUAAAUGAAAACAGUAGAUCUUCUUUUCUCAGCGCCGUAACAUCCAUUCCCAGCUCUCAUUCCCGUCAUUAGACGCUCGGAAGGGAGUCAGGCCCGAACAGGCCCAAAACGUCCCAUCCAUCCAUCCAUCCAUCAUCCAUCUACCCAUCCAUCCAUCCACCCACCAACCCGUCCAUCCAUCCAGGCGGAGAGUGAAUGAUGGAAUUAACG
rnacentral:lncRNA from 1 species